AAUAAAAUAAAUCUUUUGUCACGGUUCCGAAGUUCGGUUAAAUUCCGACACUGUCCCGCAACGGUAAAUUCUAAGAUAAGCACAGAACAAGUCCGGUCGAGUCCAUGGCAAAACGAACAUUCUCGAGGUUAGGACAAGUUCGUU
rnacentral:sRNA from 2 species